CCGUUGAAGUUGAUGAGGCGGUCACUGAAGAACAUGCAUCUUGAUUUUCCAAACGUGUGGGCUCCUGAUAGAGCCACGAGAUCUGUAGAAUCAAGCCCUUGAUCUUUAAACUUGCCUUUAAGUCCCACUAGAGUUUCUGAGGGACCAGGUAAGUUUGAGGUUCCAGUUCUAUUGGCUAUUCUGCUGUCUUUUCUUCCCAUUGGUACAACCCAAAUUGGUCCUCCCGACUGCCAAAACACCAUAAAAGUUAACAUUAUUACUUGCCGAAGAUAACAAAUCUCCAUUUAUCUUUACAAAAGUAGGCAGGGUUUUACUUUUGGUUUUAAAAAAAAUGUUUUGUACCAUUCAAAAUAGUUGUCAUCUUAGCUUAUGUAGUGGGUAUGAGAUUUUAAUUUCAUCGCAUUCUCCGCAUCUCAAUUGAGCUACUUAUAGAAAGAAUAGGAAACAUAAAUUUAAUUAAAGUAAUUACCAAGAAAACAGAGAUUUGAGAUGAAAUGGCUAAGAUAUCAGCGCAAGAAACAACUCCUGGACAAGCACUCUCAACUGCUGCUUUGAUGUUGUCCACAAUGUCCAUUCCUUGGAUUCCACCAUUUGGAGGUCCAUUAAGUUCACUAUCGAUAACGCCCGGUACGUCUACCAAUAGAAUCGAUCCAUCACACCCCUACACAAAACCAAAAAAAAUAUUAAGAGUAGAUUCAUCCAUCAUGUUACAAAACAUUUACUAGAUAUGUGUUUAUGCAAUACGAAAAAAAAAAGAAAAUGAAAUAAAAUAAUACAUUGACAAAGCAAUCAUGAAAAUGGAGGCGAAUGAGCUUAGCAGCAGCUCGGUCAUCAGUCUGUAGGGCUUGGGCAACCACGUUGAGAACAACGAAAGGCAGCUGAGGGCAUGUGGUGGCGUAGAAGAAAGGAGAAAGCUGGGCUUGAGAGGGUGAUAGCAUCAAAGCCACCACCACAACAAUGGCUGCCAUUUUAGGUAAACCCAUUUUUGAUACUGCAAAUGGGGUCUUCUCUGGUCUUUGCUUUGGGGAUAAGAAACUUUGUGCAAACAUAUCUUCCUUUUAUACACACCCCAUCACCUUUAAUUUUUAGUAUACCAAACAACUUGGGAUUCAAUUAAACAAUACAAUAAUCCAACUCUAUCCCACAAUUAAAAUAUGACUUUUCUUUUUCUCUCUUUUUGAAAUUUGGUACUGCCUUGGGUUGGUUUUAUACCAUUAUUGCUUGUCUUCUUGUGUGUGUGUAUAUAUAUUUUCAAUGACCAUUCUAGUAAAUUUGCCUCCUUGUACGAUUUUCUUUUUCUAUCUUAUUAUGCACAUGAUGUAUAGCAGUGUGCAUGCAUCAACGUACACAUAGUUUAACGGGAAGAUUAUAUUGUUUCUUUGUUUAAUAAAUGAAGUUGUUGGGGAUUCAACUUUUAAAAUACCCAAAUUUUUUGUGAAGAGAUGGCUACUGGAUUUUUUGUGAGAUUCCAUAUUUUUAUAAUUUAUUUUAUGGAAUUGAUCAUCAAAUAUAAAAUUACAAGAUUAUUGUGUUGUUGUAAUUUUGUGACUAUUAAUAAUAAAUCCAUGAAUUGUCAAAAAUCUUAAAUGACAAGAUUGGUAGUUUAAAAGUUAUAUUUAUUAGACAUUUUGGAAAUAGAAAUAAAAAAUCUCUUAAAAGUAGAAAAAAUUAUGAAUUCCAAUUUUGAGGGCUGUUGGUAUCAAAAUUUCUAAUUAAGUUCAUUAUUAUAUGGUUACUAUCCAUUUAUAAGUUGAAGUUCUACUUAAUUUUUUUAAAAAAAUGUGAAACGUACUAAAAAGGUUUACUUUUAAAAUUGAAGGACGAUACAUACUUAUUGAUUGAUGAAGACUUCGAGAACUAAAAAAAAUAGAUUUUCUAUUUUUUUUAUAUUUAUAUUAUGUUUGUAACGAUAAUUCUUCAUGCCUAAAGCUAAACUUGUUGGGUAAGGUUGGAAAGAAGAGAAAGAGAAAAAGAAAUUACUACACUAUAAUAAGAAAAGAAACGAGGUAUAUAUUAUGAUAAUUACAAGUUUUUUACCAAAUGACAUUGCUACAAAAAGGAUAAAGAUGUUUAGUUGAAUUUAGAGUUUGUUUAAAUUGAUGGGAGAAAAAAUGUUUUUCAAUUUAAUUCCCUUUUAUUUAAAUAUUCUUUGUAAAAGUUAAUUAAAAUGCACUUUGAUGUUGUCACGAUGUCUAGGCCUUGGAUUCCAUUGUUGGGAGGUGCGUUCAAUUCACUGUCGAUAACACCAGGUACGUCUUCCAAUAGCACAUAUCCAUCACACUCCUACAUAAAUUGACCCAACAUCCAACGUAUAAGUCUUGCUUUAUACUUUCGUAUAGGAAGAAGUGAGAAGAUGUUUGGCUAAACAAAAAAAAAAAAAAGUAUUUUUAAGUAGUUAGAAAAAAUCAAUUCAAAUAGGUUUAUGAUGAGUACGUGCAUUGGCAAAGCAGUCAUGAAAGUGGAAACGAAUGAACUUGGCAGCAGCUCGAUCAUCUGUUUGGAGAGCUUGAUAGACUGUAUUUAGAACAACAGCAGUCAGUUAAGGGCAAGUCGAGGCGUAGAAUAAAUUGUUAAGCUGAGCCAGAGAGGGAGCAAGCAUCAAAGCUACCACAACAAAGGCCGUAAGUUUAGAGGAAGCCAUUGCUAAUGUUUUUGGGUUAUUUGUGAGAGUAAGUUGUGGAGAAAUGGAGAGGUGAUGUUUGAUUAAUUUAUACACAGCAGCCAUGAGUUUGGGGCACAUAUAGUCGAUUGAUUCAAGGUCAUUAACAUUAAAUUAUUAACAAAAUUGAGUAUGAUUAUUUUCAACACAUCAGGGUUUUCGUUUGGUAUUUGGGCUACCUAUAUACAAUAUAAGUGCAAUCUUAUCAUUAAAAUUAAUUGUAUUUCUUACUUCAAUUUGCAGUACUAGUUAGUUUAAUAGCUCAAGUUUUAAGUGCAUAAGCAUGUUGAUAGAUAAUCAAAGAUCUUGCCGAUUAUAAAUCUUGUUAUGAUUUCCAUUAUCCAAUUCCUACAAAUUUCGAUCACUUGAUCAAAAUAUGAUUGACUUUUUUGUUUACAUAAUUCACAUUAAUGAACACGUUUUAUACUAUAAUGCAUCACCUGCCAAAAGAACUAUAUGGUAAUUCAAUUUGCAUUUUCUCUCCUUUAAGUUUAAAAGAAAUCAUAUACCAAACAAAAUAUAUGAUUUAAAUAUUUGUAAGAACGAGAGAGGAGACAUUGGGAGGACAACUUUUUGGGCCCGUUUGCUCUUUCUACACAAGCCUAUAUAUGAUUUAAAUACUGUCAUUUGCACAAGCCAAGACUUUUUGCUCUUUCUAUACUGUCCAAGAUGGAACUAUCAAAGAUGCUUGGGAAGGCUACCAUUUCGGACUGGGAUAUUUUUUCUAGAAGGCUGUUAAAAAGCUUGGAAAGGCAGCAAUGGGAUAGCCUGAAACAACCCUUUAUCUCUCCAAAUAACAAUAGAGGUCCUUAUCUCCCCAAGUGGAAGUUAAACUCUGACGGAAAAUUCACCAUUGAUUCGGUAAAAAAAGGCCUUGAUCAAUGUUGAACAAAGAGAUGAAGCUAAUAUGAGGGCUGAUAUUUUCCGGAAGCUUUGAAAAUCAAAAUAUCGAAAAAAUGCAGAUUCUUCCUCUUGUCCCUUUUACAUAAAUGCAUAAAUACAGCCAACAUACUACAAAAAAAGAUUUCGGCUCUUCAGCUCAACCCGAACUGGUGUGCCAUGUGCUAUAAGCAUUCUGAAGAGAUUGAUCAUAUCUUUACCAGUUGCAAAACUACAAAGAUAUUUUAGAAAAAGCUUGAAAUUAAGUUCUUAUUGGCUGAAAAAAUCAACAUCUUAAUGUUCAAUCCGGAUUGUGGCUGUGAUGAUAUUUGUCUCAUCAAGCAACGUAAUCAGAAGAAUGUCAUUAAGUUCAAUACUAUAUUGUGGCUGUGAUUUGGUAUGUUUGGUUGGAGAGAAAUAACGGUGUUUUCAAGGACAAGAGCAAAUGAACCAUCACUCUUUGGGAAGAUAUAUGCUCUCUUUGGGGUUAUUGGACUAGCAGGUUUUCUCUUUUGUCAAGUUACAAUGCCUCUACUAUUUCUAAUCAACCUUGCUGCUUUCUAAUUUGUUUGUAUUGAACUUUUCUCUACCCCUCUGGUAACUUUUUUGAAUUUUUUCCUUGGUUCUCACGUACAUUUAUUGAUCUAUUUUAAUGAAACGGAAAUGAUGACGGUGCUAAGGAGGUGUUCGGGUACACCUGUUGACCUAAUGUAGCUUUAAAAAAAACAAAAAAACUUUGGGUCCGUUUAUGCUAGUGUUUCUAUUUCCUGUUCCAUAUUUGUCUCGUUUCCAGUUUUUCAUUCCUUGUUCUUUAUUUUACAAUAAAAAAUAACAUUAUGUUUGAUAUAACUAUUUUCCUUUUCUGUUUCUUGAAAAAAUAAACAGAAACAAAAAAUUGUUUGAUAGUCAUUUCUUGUUUCUUGUGUUGUUUUUUUCCAACAUUUUAGUUUAAACAUAAUAUAAUUACGUAAAAAAUAAAAAAUAUAUAUAGAACUUAAUUAUAAUUUUAAAAAAUAAUUAUAAAACAUUAACAUUAACAAAUACAUCUAAGUUAAGUAAAAAAUUAAUAACUAUAAUACAAUAAUUUUUAUUAAUCAUAUGCUACUAAAUUUUGAUUUGAAAUAUUAUUUCUUAUUAAAUUAAUUUCUCUCUAGUAACGUUCAUUCAAAUUAAACUCAAUUAUAUUAGUAGGUAAACGUGUAGGAUUUUGAUUAUCUUAGUCAACAAAAUUUAUAUAACAUAAUAUUCUAAAUUUAUAUAAUAUAAAAUUCUAAAUAAUUUGAAUGAAACUAAAAAUAAUAAAUCUAAAUUGGGAGGGAUGGCCAAAAACUUCAACCUUUUUUAAAAAAAUCAAACACCUCAAUUUUAAAAAACACACUAUUAACGAAAAGCAAGUGGAGAUUAAUUUGGAUUUUGAAUACGAAUGUUCCCAUAAAUAUUAUAGUAUUUUAUCUUAUUAUUGUGUGAUAUGAGAGAAACAGAGCAACCAACCUCUGACUUUGUUGUUUUACAUCACUACUUAAUAAUAAAAGAAAACUUCCAAACACCUAAUCCAUUGAUUUAACAAGAACCACAUAUAUAUAUAUAUAUAUAUGUAUGUAUGUAUGUAUGUAUGUAGCUAAUGAACUGGAUUCAAACAUGUAAACAAACACAACAACAAAGUUGAAGUUUAUUUCUGUAAAUUUAAGUUUAAAUUAGUUAGAUAACAUCAUGGAAGGUCGUGGGUGGGUUGAUCUUCCUGCAGUUCAAUCUGACUUCAGAUGGGGUGCCAGGCGGAGGGCCAAGAUUCCCCAUUUUGAUCAUGGAAUUCCCAAAUUGAAUAAAGAACAGAAGCUGACUAGCAGCAAAUGUGUUGACAAUGCCAAUUGUAUCGGCCCCAGGGGUUGAGAAAAGCUCUUGAUCACUUUGGAGAAGCCCUUUAUGGUUUUGGAGAUUAGUGUAAUAGUUUUUAUCGAAUGUGUCUGGUGUGGUUGGAUCAAAGUUUACUCUUGUUACUGGAGUGGCACAAAGUUGGCGUAGCUGCUCCCUGUAUGCGGCGUCUAGAGUCGGGUCGGGUAGGCCAGUGUUGUUGAAGUUGUCGAACCGUCCUGUGAAGAAGAAACAUCUUGCUCGACCGAAUGUGUGCGCUCCCGAUAGGGUCACAAGGUCCGUAGAACUCAUCCCGAAGGCUGCAAAUUUGGAUUUCAGCACGUCUAGAGUUUCGAAUGGACUUGGCAGAUUUGCAGCUGCGGCUCUAUUUGCUAUUCUACUGUCUUUUCUUCCCAAUGGGACGAUCCAUGCUGGCCCUCCAGACUAUUGCAGUAAUUAACAAUCUUGUUUUAAUUAGAGAGAUAAGUUUCAAAUAUAGUAAAACGAGCUAGCUAACUUAUUUAUAAGUAUAACAGGAUGAAAUCAUCGAUACCUACCAGCACAACAGACACUUGAGAUGAGAGGGCUAAUAUGUCAGCACAAGAAACAACGCCUGGACAUGCGCUUUCAACUGCUGCUUUGAUGUUGUCCACAAUGUCUAACCCUUGGAUUCCAUUGUUUGGAGCUGCGUUCAAUUCACUGUCGAUAACACCAGGUACGUCUUCCAAUAGCACAGAUCCAUCACACCCCUACAUAAAUGACCCAACAUCCAAUAUAUCAGAAGAUGUUUAACUAAAAAAAAAAAAUGUAUUUAAGUAGUUAGAAAAAUGAAUUCAAGUAGGUUUAUGAUGAGUACGUGCAUUGGCAAAGCAGUCAUGGAAGUGGAGACGAAUGAGCUUGGCAGCAGCUCGGUCGUCGGUUUGGAGAGCUUGAGAGACUGUAUUUAGAACAAUGAAAGGUAGUUGAGGGCAAGUGAAGGUGUAGAAGAAAGGGUUAAGCUGAGCGAGAGAGGGAGCAAGCAUCAAAGCUACCACUGCAACAAAGGGUGUAAGUUUAGGGGAAGCCAUUGCUAAGGCUUUUGGUUUUGUGAGAAUAAGUUGUGGAGAACUGGAGAGGUGAGGUGAGGUUUGAUUAAUUUAUACAGCAGCCAUGAGCUUGGGCCACAAGUUGUCGAUGGAUUCAAGGUCAUUAACAAAAUUGAAUAUGAAUAAUUUGAAUACAACAUUAGGGUUUUCGUUUGGUAUUGGGUUACCUAUAUACAUGUAAUUGCAAUCUUAUCAUUAAAUUAUUUGUAUUUCUUUACUUCAAUUUGCACUGCUUACUAGUUAGUUUAAUUGUUCAAAUUUUGAAUGUAUAAAUAUGUUGAAAGAACAAGAAACAAAAAUUAUGGUUGGUAACUAUUUCUUUAAUCUUUUUGUUUAUCAUUUUUUAGUUUAAAUAUAAAAAAUAAAAAAUUAAAUAACAUUAAGCCUCACCCAGGUGAGUAAUAGAAACAAGGAACACAAAAACAAAAACGUUAUCGAACGAGUCUUAAAGUCCUUAUAAUGAUCUUUACUAAUUUCAUAGCAACGUUUAAAUACAACUUAAGCUGUAUUUAUCACAUGUAUUCCCCACUUCUCUAUCACACCAAAAAAAAAAAAAGAAAAACUUAUUUUUAAAGAAUAAAAAUAAUACGAAACAACAUUUUAUUGGAUUAUAUUUAAAUUGUACAAAGAUAGAUGCAUGUAUACAAGGGAGUACUCAAUUAAGUUUUAAAUUUUAUGAUAAUUCUUUAGUAUAAAAAUAAGUCACUGAUUGAGAUUGUAGAUUAAUAUUUACGUGUGUUUUAGAUAUAUAUUAUUUGAAUUGAAAUAGAUGUUAAGAAUAUUAUGAGAGUUGUGAAAUACCUAAUCGGAAUAUCUUAACUUGUCAUUUUUCCACAACAAAAUAAAUAAAUAUAUAUAUAUAUAUAUAUAUAUAUAUAUAUAUAUAUAUAUAUAUAUAUAUAUAUAUAUAUAUAUUAAAGAAAGGAAUUGUCCAAAGGAUAUUAUAACAAAACCUGAAAACCAUUCCUUUGUUUUCUUCUUUCAAACUUUAUUAUAUAUAUGUAAAUAGUACUAAAUAGCUACCUAACAACCCCCUCCAUAGUCCACAUCCAUAUAGCUUUUAUACCAAAAAGAAUAUUACUUACUCACCUCGUUUAUACUAUCCAUCUUUGAAUAGUCUAUUAAAUUUUAAAUACUUUAGUACAUUUUUACGUGAGUCGUGAGAAAAUACACCCAAUAUUACCUCAUUUAAUUUGAUAUCUUCUCCAUUUUUCUCUCUAGAAAAAGUAAAUUAUUUUUUAAAAAAUGGUUCAUUUUCUUAUGUUUGUAUGCAUAGCUGUUUGUUGAGUUAAAAGUCAGUAAAAGAAAAUUUAUUCAAAUUUUAAAUUCAACCCUUACUUUUUAAAAAGAAAAAAAGGAAAGAAAAUCUUGAAAUUUGAAAUUUUAGACAUAGACUUCGAUAUAUUCUAUUUUUAAAUAUGUAAAUUUGACUGAUUCAAAACUUUGAUUUACAUUCCAAAUAUUAUGUUAUUUGCCUGUAAAGUCCAUCCUAUUAUUUUUGUUUAUUUAGAUAAUGUAAUCUAAGGCCCUUACCCAAAACUCAAUAGUUUAUUAAUUUAAUAACCUAAAUAAAACUAAAUAAAUAUAUUUUUUUAGAUUAUGAGAAAUAAAAAGAAAAAAGAGGAGUGGGUGAGUAAAGUUUGCAAAAUUUAAGCAGCCUUAUUUAAUUUAAUUAAUAAUUUUGAAUAAUAUAAAAUGAAAAAGUCCAUUUAAAUCCGAUCAACUUUGUCAAAAAUCCACGUGCCAUUUUUACCAAUUUCAAAUAUUCAUAUCCUCAUAUCCUCAUCUCAUUAUAUAUAUUUUUAUUAUAUAGUUUUAAUUUAAUAUAUGGUUGUUUUGAAGUCUCCGUUGGAUGGCGUCGGACAAAUUGGAGAAAUUGCCACGAAGGAUCCACGAACUUCCCUUCUUUUAAUUUACUUCUAAUCAUUUUGACUAUUUAUACUCUUCAUCUCAUUAUAAUUUUCUCCACAAUUCAUCCCUUUAUUAUUUGUUUUAAUUAAUUUAAUUCCAUUCAGAUUGAGAUUUUGAGAUUGUUUGGUGUUGUUGUGAGUUUUGAUAUCAUCCUCAUCCUUCCGAGAUUUAGAUUGGAUUUCUAAGUUUAGGAUUAUUUGGAUGAAUGAUUCGCAAUAUAUUUAGACGAGUGGUUAGGGUUUAGUAUGCACCUUCGAGAACUACUAACGUGUGACGAUACAACAUUCUAAACUAAGAGAAUAAUAAGUUACUCAAUAAUAUUUAAAGUUAGGAUUUUACGUGAAUAUUGAUUAAGGGGAUCGAGUUGUACAUGUCCUUAUUAAUGUUAUGACAACUGUUAUUGUACAAUAUAAUUUUAAUUGUUGAGUCAAUCUAUGAUCAGUACGUUGAUCGAUGUUUAAAGUGUUGUAUCCUCAAUCAUAAAACAUUGUAACGAUCAAUUACUACACAACUAAUGUAAUCUCUUAUUAUGGGCAUAGUGUCCCCAACAGUUUGAUGAUGUCCUUCCGUAGUUGUUCUUUUUUAUAUUAAUUUUCGAUACAACAAGCAACAAUAACUAAGUGUGUGAUUUUUCAAUCUAGUCUCGAUAACAAAGGCUGAGAUUGGUUUGUUUAAUUUUCUCAAUCUAAUGAUAUUAGUUAAAUUUUAUAAUUAAUAUCUUUGGUAUCUUUAAAUUUAUUAUCUUUUCAUUCUCAAUUCUCACCCAACCUUAAACCUUCCUACCAAACUAAUAUACCUACAAGAAAAUAUACAACAUUAACUCAUCAAUUACUACACAAUAAUAUCAACACAGUAGCACACAAAAGAACAACUAUACAGUAUUUGACUAUAUAAUAUUAGCUAGUGCCAAGUUAAAAUUAAGAGCAAAUCAUAAGGCCCAUUAUUUGGUAUUUACAGAGAGUGACAAAAAGAACAAAGAAAAAGGUUCGAUCCCAAGCAAAUGAGACCUCAAUAUUCACACAAAUGAAUAUACAUUUGACUGAUUAUGCAUUGUUGAUAAAUUUGUUAACUAUGCACUCAUUUAUUAUACUCUUGUGAUAAACUUAACAAUGCUACAUUUGAUUAUACCCACGAUGAUAAUGAUACAUUAAUUUAUAUAUUAUAAUGAUAUAUGGUAACUAUUUUAAUAUUUAGAGUGGCAAAGGGCCAAAAGACACUUUAAAUCCGAGGCUGCGAUUAGGUAAUUGCUAAAGUUUUAAUAAUUAAUUAAUAAGUAAAGAGGAAGUUGGAUCAAAUUUUGUAAUUUUAAGGUUGCCUUAGUGGGUUCUUGGUGGGUUCAUGGCUUUGGAACUGCACAAAUCUCCAAAACAAUUAAACAAAAAUGUUUAGCCACAAACCAAAGAUUAAAAUAUGAACGAAUAUCUAAGUUCGACACCUACGCCCUUAUUACGUUUAUAACUUAGUUUUAUUGAAGAACAAACCAUAAAACAACGACAUACAAAACCAUCCAAAACCACAAGUAAUUAAACAAAGUUACAUAAAAUCACGACCUUCAUCAGUACUUCUAGGCCUUCUUGGAUUAACCCUCCUACAAUUCAAUCUAAUCUCUCCUUUGUUUCCGGUUAAAGGAGUAAUAUUUCCCAUUUUGAUCAUAGACUGACCAAAACUUUUGAAAAACUCGCCUUGCUUUUUGGCAAACCGGUUCACAAUCCCCACCGUGUCAGCCCCACUAGUUGAGAACAGUACUUGAUCACUCUCCAAAAGUCCUCUUAGCCCUUGAAGGUUCGUGUAAUAGUUUUUGUCAAAUGUGUCUGGAGUCGUCGGAUCAAAAUUGGCUCUUGUCUCUGACCCACUUGAGCAAAUUCUUUUGAGCUGCUCUCUGUAGGCUGGGUCCAGCGUUGGGUCUGGCGUGUCGAAUCUUUGGCUGAAAAAUGCGCACCUUGAACGCCCAAAUGUAUGUGCUCCUGAAUUUAAACCCAAUAAUUAGUUUGAUUAUUUAACCCCGACCGUUAAUGGUUAAUUAAUUUUGUAUUAAUUUUACCAGACAAAGCCACGAGAUCAGUGGAAUUGAGACCGAAAGCACCAAAUUUGGCUUUGAGUGCAUUGAGAUCUUCAAAGGGACUGGCGAGGUUGUUUGUGGCUCCUUCUUUAUUCGCUGUUCUGCUGUCUCUUCGUCCUAAUGGCACAACCCAGCUCGGCCCUCCAGCCUGAAUUCAAAACUACUUUGUUUAUACUCUUUUUUUUAAAAAAAUAAAAGUGGGUUAUGAUAUGAUAUGAUAUGAUAUUUAGUUACCAAUACGACGGAUUCUUUGGAGGCAAUGGCUAAGAUGUCAGCACAAGAGACAGUGCGAGGGCAAGCCUUUUCAACAGCGGAUUUGAUGUCAUCGACAAUGUUAAGACCUUGAAUGCCUUGAUUUCCAGGGGCAUCUAGUUCACUGUCUAUGCCUGGUGCAUUCUCUAGCAAAACAGACGCAUCACACCCCUGCAAUAUUACCCAUAUUUCACAUCAAUUUUCGUUUUCAGCAAAAAAAAAACAUAAAAAUGUAGAAUGAAACUGAGAUUUGUUGUUAAUUAGUUGGAUACGUCAACAAAGCAGUCAUGAAAAUGGAGACGAAUUAGCUUGGCUCCAGCUCGAGCAUCGGUUUGCAGAGCCUUAGCAACGACAGCAUUCACAAUAUUAGGUAAAUUAGGACAUGUUUUGGCGUAAAAUGAAGGGUUUAGUUGAGCCAAAGAGUGUCCCACCAGGAAACCCAAUAAGCAAAACAAUGGGAAGAAUAGUGGAGAGUUAGAAGAAUCCAUUUUAAUCAUUGUUGGUGAGAAUGGGAGUGGUGACUUAGCUUCCUUUUUAUACAUAAUUUGGAGUAGAGACAAGAGUAAGUUCUGUAUAAAAGUGAAAGGUGAAUUGUUUUAAAAAUAAUUUCAGGUCACCUUUAGGAUAACCCACAUGGGGCUGCCACGCCUCCUAAUGCCUUUGCUUUUCUCAAGAAAAAAAAUUACAAAAAAUUGUUAAAAAGGAAAAGCUUGAGAGUGUGUUUCAUUCAUAAUUUUGGAAGGAAAGUUGCCCUCUAUACGAGCUGGUGGACUCCAUCAUUAACAAAAUUGAUUUUAUACCUUAAAAACUUCUUACAUUUAAUAACUCUUUACUCAUCAAUAUUCAAUUCCUUACUCUAAACCGUAUCUAAAAGUUCGUAUGGAGUCGAAUUGUUGUAUUUGUUUUAUUUUGAUUCCUAAACAUUAUAAAAAAAAAUUAAACCCUCAAUUCUUUAAAGUGCUUAUAUUUUUUGGUUGUUGUUAUAAUAUUUAUACUAAAAUUUUCAAGAGAAUUAGGGUGAUUCUCGUAUAUUUGGAUGACUUGACCACAAAUUAAGCUCAUCCAUCUAACAAAAAAAUCUAGGGUUUUAAUUUUGAAUUAAAUGUUAGAGGAUGAACGAAUGUUUAAUGGAAGAACUUAAAAGUCACAUUGUCAUGAGAUUUUAAUCGUUUACUAUUUUGGUGAAUUGGUUAUUGGCAUUCUACUACAUUUUCUAACUCAUGUGGGAGAUACUAAAACAUUCAAAUUUUAAGUGUUUUAUCCCUUAAGUUUGUGAUUCAUGAAUGCAUUUUUUUUUCUCGUAUCAUUUUUUCUUCAUUUUUUAAGUUAUGGGAUUCAUUGCAUGUACUGAGAAUAUUUAUUUUCAAUUUCUUAGAGUGUAUUAUCUACCUGAGUUGCAUUUAUUUGAUUUUUAGUUUAUUUUAUCUCGUCACGAGUUGUUAAAUGUUAACGCCCAACAUGCCACUCAUUUUUAAUUUUUUAAAACAAAGCUACAUGGUCGUUCUAGUGACUAAAGUAAAUGAUUUUUAAAAAUUUAAUAAUUUAAUAGACAUUUUUUUUAAGUUUAGAGAUCAAAAUAUAAAGCAACGUUCAAAAUUUAUAGACUAAAAUAAGAUUUAAACAUUUGUUUGAAUGAAAUCACAUGCAUACAUAAAAACAAAAACAAGUAAUUAAUUAUGUUUGUGAUUUCACCCAAAAUACUCAAACAUAUUAAAUUUUGGUGUUAUUUACGUCUGUGAUUUCAUCGUGAGAGCAUACACAUAUAUCAUAUAUAUAGAAUCUCAAUGUUAUUUUGCUCAUAAUUAAAGUAGAGAUUCACAUAACUUUUUCAAAUUAUAUGCGAUCUCUCCAAAUUCUAUACCAAACUCUUACCUCUCCCUCCCUGUAGUUCUCAAAUCAUGUAUGAGAACUUGCAAAUCUUACCUACAAUUUAUAUUUACACAAAUGUCUAAAUUAUUUAAAUAAUUUACCAAUUAUCUUUCCAAAUUUCUCUUAAUUGAGUAAUAUCAAUAGUGUGAUUUUUCAAGGGAGAAUUAUAAAAGAAAAUAACAAAUUUAACAAUAUAUAUAUUUACAACAUAUAGCAAAAUUUUCAGAUUAUAUUAAUAAUAAACUUUGAUAGACAUCGAUAUGUUUCUAUCAAUGAUAUUGAUAGAUAGUGAUAGAAGUCUAUCCGUUUCUAUCAUUAAUAGAAUAAAAAAUUUACUAUAGCCGGUAAAUAUUACUAAUUCUAGAAAUGUCCCGGGAGAAUUACAUGGGCAUUUGAAUUUGUAAUUUUUACCAAAAUCUUCAUUGGUAUUAUAACAAGAAGGUCCAAAACAAUCAACUCGUUAAAAGAAUAAACUUUCAAACUAAAUCUUAGUUGGUAAGCUAAGGAGAAAACUUAAAUUUUUUUUACCAAAAUAUCUCGAUCGAUAAUAUAACAAGAAAGUUUAAAACGUUAAAUUUUGAACUAAAUUUUGGUAUCGAUUUCGCCCGAGAAACGAAUUUUAAAGUGUAAUAGUUUGUAAGGUAAGGUGGAAAACUUAAAAGCAUAGUAUUGUUUACAAUCUGCGAAAGUUCAUCACCCAUAACCUCAAAUAUAACACUCACGUUUAUAAUGUUUUUUUUCUUUUCUUUUAUAAGGUGACGUAAAAGAUGAUUAUAUUCAGAAACCCAAACUUAAUGGACAUUAAAUUCUUCCAUACCUUCACUUUCUUUUUGUCUUUUGUAUGAAACACUAUAGUUUUGAUUGGGAAAAAGAGUCUCUCUCGAACACUGCACGCCAUCUUUGAAAGUAAAUAAAAAUGUAAUCAUAUGUAACUUUCCUUUGAAAGGGAAAAAGAAAGCAAAAUGUAAAGUUUACGUUUUACGUUUUAUGGUUUAGGGUUUAGGGUUUAGGGUAAAAUAAAAGGUAGAAUCCUUUUGUUCAUCCGAAUUUUAGGUUAGUUUUCUCACCUACCAAGUUUAAGAGAAUAGUUUUCAUUAAAACAUACUAAAACAACAACUAAUUAAAUAAAUAAACGUUUUCGACUACCAACGUAUACUAAACAUUUUGUAAAUCCUCGAAGCUUUCAAAAGUUUUUAUUUAUUUUUUAAAUAUCAUUUUGGGUUGUUAAUAUCCUUUUACUUAAUUUUUAUUUCUCUCCACCUUUCUUUUGCAAUUUUUUCUUUUUUAAACUUAUGGGUAUUUAUGAACUUUAAUAGUUCAAAUGUAUUUUUUUAUACAAAUUAACUUUAACAUUCUCAUAGAAAAAACUAAUAAUAAAUGUGUAGUAUCUGUUAAUCCUUUUAAAAUUUUAAAAGUUUAGAAACAUUUUUUUUAUGCAAAAUACAAAGUUAUAUGGGCAUAUUUAUAUAUAUAUAAUUUAGUCUAAUGAGACAAUUAAAUAGGUAAAAGACUACGAUUCUAUUAAAUUUUAAUUAAACUUUACAUUUUUCAUUUUUUUAAAGUAGAAUGGCAUAUAUCCUUAAGGAGAUUGUUAGUUUAGUUUUCUAAUUAUUCAUGUUGAUAAUAUAGUCUGCUAUUUGCUUGUACUGUGUUGAAUCCCUUUUCUUUUGUAUCAGUAAUGAUUAGGUACAACUCCCUGCUCUCCUUUCUAUACUCGCACCAAAAAAUAUUUAAGAAAUUCUUUUUCUACUUCACACUUUCAACUGCUUAGAGUUGCACAAAUGAUCAGAGGUGCAGUUCAAGUAGCAUAUCUAAAUGUUUUAUAUUGAUUUCUGUUUCUUAUGCAUCAUCAUUGGGAGUACUUUUGUAUCCAUAAUAUAUUGUACUGAUGGAUCAUUCUUCUCUAAACUACUUGUUAUCUCUUUUAUCUAACUAUAUUACAAAUGAGAAUGAAGAUGUAUUAGGUAUCUACGGUUGAGAAUCUCACGUUAGAAAAACUAUAUAACUAAAGGAUUUGAUGCUCUUUGAUAAGAUAAAUGAUAUAUAUUUCUUUUAUUUUCAAUUAGCUUUAAGACAAACUCAUGUUAUUAAUAUAUGGUAUUAGAUAAGAGAGACACUAUCUAACUGUUUGUCGAUAUUGAAGAAAUGUUUCAAAAUAUAUGUUAAAGUUGUUGAAGCGUCAAAUGACAUCGUCUUUGAAUUAAUUAUACGAUUUUCUCGAUCUUUCUUGAUUUUCAUACUGAUUUCAAACUUUGAGGUAUCAAAGUGUGAGUCUAUAUUUACGAAACCUAAAAACGCUUUUUACAAAAGUUAAAAAAGAAAAGAAAGAAAAGUAGAAAUGUGUUAUAUACUUAUUGGGAGAAGUACUCAUGUGGAGUGGUGGAGGAGAGGGGUGGUGCUGCUCACCUAACUCCAUAUUAUAAAUAUUGCAAAAGUAGGGUUUUGAUAUUUUUUUGACGGAGACCCUUGCAAAAAUAGCAAAAACAAUUUUUAUAAUAAAAUUCAUGUUACUAUAUUUUCUAAUUAAAUUACAAAUGUAACAACUUAAAAAGUCAAUAAUUCGCCUAUAUCACUAAUUAUACAUAUGUAUAUUGUAACAUGCAGAACAAAACUGGUGCGAUAGGCUAUUUUUUUCUGAACAAAACUGGUGUGAUACACUAUUUUUUUCUGAAUAUUUUUGUUAGGGGAAUUUUCUCUUUUUAUAAAACUGAUGUGGGUCCCACACCCUUAUAUAUAUAUAUAUAUAUAAUUCAUUUUUCUCAUCAUAUUCAUGUGCUGAUAUUUUUCAAUUUCCAAUUUCACUUUCUCCCUAUUAAUUAUUGUAGUAGCCAUAAUUAUUAUUACACUAUGGUGCAAAGCAGGAGCUAUAUCUUCCCUUUUUAAUCCUCUUUCAUUAACAUUAUACUUUUAUUUUUUAAAAAAAUUAUUUUAAACAGCUAUUUGAAAAUAUUCACAAAUUACAUCAAUACUUGACUUCUAUUAAAAUAAUAGAUAUCAAUACUUAUCACUAAUAAUAAGAGAAGACAAAUUUUGUUAUAUUUACAAAUAAGUGUUGGACUCAAUUAUUGUUAUAUUUGAAACCAUUGUUUAUGUUUCUUUUAGUCAAAACCCACGUUAAAGUUGUAUUCAUGUGUUGAUCCUAAUUUGAUUCCUCAAAAGUUAGGGAGGAAUUAUUUAAAUUCUUUAAAAUAUUUUUAUUUAGAAAAAAAGGUGGAAAAGAAGAUAAAGCACUUUUGGACACAGCAUGCUAAAAUUCUUCGUGGUCUUCAAAUAAUUUUGAUGCAAUUAGAGAAGUUUAAGAAGAAGAAAUAUAAAGAGAGGAAGAUAAUUGUAAUAAUAUAGUAGCCAUAUAUUUUAUACUAAUAAUACAAGAGGCAGAAAGUACUUGUUGGAGAGCUAUGAUUGACGUCGAUCACUAAUAUAAUAGAGUAAUUGAUAAAUAUCUGGAAGUCUAUACAAAACAGGUAGUAUUAGAAGUAGAAACAAAGUCUCAUAUUGAUGAUUAAGGACCAUAUAAACAUAGAUACUCAUCUCUAAUCGUAGGAGGCGUCGUGGAGAAAGAAACAAACAAAAGCAUGUUUAUUUAAACAAACAAAUUAGAGGGUAUGAAACUUUUUUUCUUUUGUUUUGGAGAAAUAGAGAAAAGAAAAGAUAGAAAGAAGAGAAAGGGCCAGCGUUGGUUAACAUAAAACAUAUGAAGUGUUUCCAUAUGGUAAAAUAAAUUAGCAGUUACAUAACAGCAGUACCAGCAGCAGUAGUAGUAGGAUUAACACGCCUACAAUUGGUCCUGAUUUCUCCCGCCGGUGCCACUAACGGUUGAAUGUUCCCCAUAUUUAUCAUUGACUGACCAAACUGAGCGAAGAAAUCAGAUUGGUUCCCGGCAAAACGGUUGACGAUCUCGAUGGUUUCUGCCCCUUCGGUUGAGAACAGCUCUUGAUCCGAUUGGAGAAGCCCACGGUUGGUAACCAAAUCAGUGUAAUAUGCAUUGUCGAACGCAUCCGGUGUCGCCACGUCCAGUGCGAUGCGGUUGUUUCCAUCGCCGGUCGGACAAGCGAUGACCAAUGCAUCCCGAAAUGUAGGGUCAAGAGUCGAGUCUGGACUUCCGGUGCCAUUGAAGUUGUUUAGCCUCCCACUGAAGAAUACGCAUCUUGACCUUCCAAAUGUAUGCGCUCCUAAUAAUAAAAACCAUAAUACAUUUAUUGUUCUUAAUUACUUUGUUAGUUAUAUAAAUUAUAUAUAUAUAUAUAUAAUAAAAUUGUUAAAUUAUUACCAGAUAAAGUCACAAGAUCGGUAGAAUCGAGCCCAGCUGCAUUAAAUUUUGCUCGAAGUUGAUCGAGUGUUUCAAAAGGGCUUGGGAGGUUGUUUUCAGCUCCAGUUCUAUUUGCAUUUUGGCUAUCUCUUCUUCCUAAUUGGACUACCCAACCUGACCCUCCUGUCUGCAUUUAGAUUAUUGCAUGUUCAAAUCUUCACAUCCAUACGUUGUUACCGAAAACAUAUUAACUUUUGAUAAAUAUAUGUACUAAUUAAAUUACCAAGACAACAGAUUCACGGGCUGAAAUGGCUAAGAUAUCUGCACAAGACACAGUGUUUGGACAAGAAGCUUCAACUGCAGUUUUGAUGCUGUCGACAAUGUCAAAGCCUUGUAUUCCUUGGUUUCCUGGUGCAUCUAAUUCACUCUCUACACCAUCUUGAUUUUCUAACAAAACUGACCCAUCACAACCCUGUACUCAAAUUCAGUCAUAUAGAAUGCAACUUAAGUAUUAAUUUUAAAGUUCGCCAUAUAACUAGUGGAAGAGAAUAACAAAUGAGGUCUUACGUUGACAAAACAAUCAUGGAAGUGAAAGCGAACAAGCUUGGCUCCGGCUCGAACAUCACCCUGCAAUGCCUGGCUUACAGUAUCUCUGACAACGGCGGUAAGAUUAGGGCAAGACUGGUCGUAGAAGGUAGGGCUGAGUUGGGCAAAAGAGCCCCUCAACAUCAUACACAACAAGGCUGCUAAAGCUGCAACUUUAGGGAACGACAUGGUCUAAUAAUUUUGGUCUUAAUUAUAACUAAAAUUGAAGGAUUAUAGAUAUAUUAUUCAGAAUAUAUAUGAUCAAUGAAUGAAACUAUAAAUCUAACCCUUCCCUUUUAUACACAAAGAUGGGAUUCAUUGUUAUUUUUAUUUUAUGUGAACUUCAAAGAUCAAAAUGGAGUGUUCAACAACCAUAUUUUCCAACUUUGUAAAGUAUAUUAUAUAUGAAUAAACGACACACACUAAAUUCAAAAUGCUAAAUUUAGUUAAAUAUUGUUAUGUUCUACUAAUUAUUUUUAAACUCGACUAUGAUUAAUUAUUUAACAAAUUUGUUGAGUUGUAAUAUGAUAUAUAUUCUGAUAACUACCCUUGAUUAGAAGAGAAAGAGCUGAAUAAUGAAAAACUUUUCGAAUACAAUAUUUGAAAAGAAAAGAAGCAUAUAAUCUUUGAAAAAAAGAAAAAUAUUGAAGUUCUCUCCAAAUAUAUAUAUAGUUAAAAUGGAAUUAAUUAAAGAAAAAUAUUCGUUGGUAUCUACUUUGUUGAUAUAAAACAGCUAAUUUAAUUUAAUUAUCAGACCAUUCCAAAACCAUAUGCUUUUACAAAAUGAUAUUAAUAUCGAGACCUUGAUCACUUUUAUAUAUAUAUUGUUGACCAAUAUUAUUCGUUUUUUCACUACUUUUGUUUCUUCCUAUAAUCUUUUUAAAUUAUUGUUAGGGUAGUUGGCAAUUUGGGCAUCGUUAUUCUUCAAAGACCAACGGGGCAAUGACUAAGAACAAAGUUAUGUAUGUUUUCUCAUUAAACUAAAUAGAAUAAAGUGAUGAAGGGUUAGGCUUACACCAUGCAUAUAUACUAUGUAACAUACAAAGCAAUAUUGGAAGAUUUAUUUGAUGUAGUAUACUUGCCACCAUUUCAACCUCAAACCUAAAACUAUGUAAUAUAUAGUUUAAUCCGUCUAGCUUAUUUAAUAUCGUAUUAAAUAAUAAUAUAAGCUUAAGUUUUUCUAUAAUUGAGCUUUGUACAUCAAUAAUAUUAGGGUAUGAGUCGAACUAUUAUGAGAUCAAUAUAUAUCCUUUUUUAGGUGGAUUUGAUCGUACUUCUCCGAGAAGUGAUGAACAAGAUUAAAGAUAUCUAGCUACUUAUAAAUAAUAACAUAAUAUAAUUUUUUUUUUCCAUUUUGGUCCAUAUAUAACAUUUAAAAUGUUUGUUUUCAUCAUAAAAUUUCCCAACUUACCUAUUUUCAUACUCUCUUUUUUUCCUCUUUCAAUAACUCCAAAAUAAAUAACGGUCAUUAAUCAAAAUAAAUCGUAAAUAAAAUGCUUUCUAACUUUUUGUUGUGAGCUUAGCUCUAACUCUUUAGCUUUCGUGCUGUCGUUUGACUUUUGUCUAUUGUAAUUGUACUAAUUUUUCCUAUAUUAAUGAAAGUGAAGAUGAAUGGGGUGCUAAGGGGUGUCUACCUAAUAAAGAUGUAUUGGUGCACCUGUUGAUCCAUAUUGUAUAUUUUAUUAUUUAAAAAAAUUAAUUCUUUUAUGCCCCAAAAUUGUCCCUCUAAAAGAAUAAUGUGCUUUUUUAAACAAAAAAAAAAAAAAAAAGGAAAAAGAAAAAAAUUGCUUCAUUUGAUAAUGAAAUGUUGUAUUAAUCUUUAGUUUAUAAAUAAAUUAGUCACGUCCCACAAUUAUGUUCAACAAAUUUCUCUUUGAUCAUAAUUUGUUAAUAAAAGGAAGAAGUUAAGACAUUACAUCUAUCAUAUUAAUAAAAAAUUUGAAUAUUUACACCAACAUGCAUUCUAUUUCUAUCUAACAAUAAGAAUAAAAUAUGUUAAUUAAUUAAGAUCAUUAACAUAACUACAAAAUAUUUAAAGUUAAUUAAUUAAAGACUCAAAUUCUUCUUUUUCAUAUAUUAUUGUUGUUCUAGAAAUGAUAAACGAAAUACAGUACAUCAAAUAUAAAUAAAUAAAUACACAUACACACAAACAUAUAUAUAUAUAUAUAUGUAUUGAGUUGGUGUAGACUUGAUUCAUUAAUUUAUUAAAGAUGGCUGAAUUAAAUUACAAAGGGUGAAUAUAUUAAUAUCCAGCAACCUAAAUUUGUCUGUUCUACUAAAGCAAUUGAAUCCAUACAUAUCUAUCCACAGACCAAAAUAAUAUAACAAAUCAACCAAAAUAAUAUAACAAAUCAAACAAUUGGAUGAAUAUAUGGAAACUGCUUCUCUAAUUAAAAUCAAACAUGUGCAAUUUUGCCAAUUUUAUUUUCAUGUACUUUAUAUUGAAAACAUCUCCAACUUUCCAAGGUCUUUAAAAUAUCCAUAAAUGAACUAAAAUAUUUAUAAAUACACCAGGAAAUGUAAACAAUGAGAUAAUGCAAGACACUAAUGUAUUACUAGUAGAUCAUAUUUAUUACUGCAUGUCUAUAUAGUUGAUGGAUGGUUAAGGUUUAGUAUAUUUGAAUUAUAGUAGCUAAGAGGAAUUAACGAUUCCGCAGUUGUUUCGAAUCUGUCCAUUGGAGCCAGUGAGUGGGCUCAUAUUCCCCAUCUUGAUCAUGGCUUUAACAAAGUCGCUGAAGAAAAGCGUAGUGUUUGAGCUAUAAGCUUCGACCAACGGUUUUGUAGUGGUUUGAGCUUCAUCGCUUGAGAACAGGAUCUGGUCGGACGCCAACAGCCCCUUUUGGUUCAGCAAGUUCUUGUAGUAAUGGUUGUCAAAUAAAUCGGUUGAGUUUCGGUCGAGAACAGUGGUCUUGUUGCCGUCAUCGGUGAGAGGGCAGAGAGCUUGAAGAUCAGAUACCAUCAUGGACUCCAUGGUUGGGUCUGGAGAAUCACUUCCUGAGAAGUUGAACAGCCUAUUGUUGAACAUCGCACAUCUUGCAAAUCCAAAUGUAUGAGCUCCUGCAUGCAUGCCAUGCAACCAAUAUUAUUCCUUGAUCAGUUAGCGGUUUGAUGGAUUACAUCUAAUUAUCCCAUUUUAUAUGUCACGUUGAAUAAUUUUAAGAUUGGAAUUCAGAUCCAAUUCAAAGAACAACAAAUGAGUUGUAAUGGGUUAUUACUCAAACUUUAACUUCAAACGAAAAUUGGCUGUGUGCUUUCAACAUUUAACUGAUGACAUUAAAAUCAAUGAAACAUGCGAUUCUCAAACUUUCCUUUUAACUUCUUUGUUAUUUCACACUAUAGUGACAUUUUUUUUCCCUUACGUACGUUUCAUUUAUUUCUUUCACGAUAUAUAAUAGAAAGAUUGAUUUACGAACAGUUGUUAUUACAACAGAUUUCAUAAUUCGAAAAUUGUAAACAUGCAUGCAUGAUUUGGUUAAAUAUAUAAUACAAAUAUAUAGACGCACCAGAUAAAGCCGCGACGUCAGUCACAUUGAGCCCAACUUGAAUGAAUUUCUUGAUGAUACCAUCAAGGCUUUCAAAUGGAGAAGGAAGUUCCUCGGCUCCUGUUCUAUUCGCUACCAAUCCAUCUCUUCUCCCCAAUAAUACUUUCCAUGCCGGUCCUCCGCUCUACAACAUAUUUCAACCAUAAUAUUGAUUAAAAUCCCCCCUCCCCCCAAAAAAAGAGCUAUAUCUAUAACUAUAUCUAUACAUAUAUAUACUUGAGUUGGUGAUUAAUUACCAAGAGAACAGAAUCUCUGGCAGCUAUGGUUAAUAUAUCAGCACAAGAUACAACUCCCGGACAUGAAUUCUCCACUACUGCUUUGAUGUUAUCCAUAACUUCAAGCCCUCUCAGAGAAUUGAUGUUGGGAAGUGCAUUUUGCUCCCCAUCACUCCCAUCCAACAGCACAGACGCGUCGCAACCCUGUUCGUUUGUAGUGUUAGAUUAGUAAGUGCCAUGGAUCACGGUUUUAACGCUAAUAAUUUAACAUACAGCAAGAAUGGAAAAUAUAAACACACUUUUCUUAACGGUAGACUUUAAUCCUAACAGAGGUCAAUAAGUUGAUAGAUGUUUCAACACCUAAAUCUAAAUUUUACUAUAUUUGUAAUUUUUUUUAUUGUGUUAUAUAUACUACUAAUACUUUGAAUUUGAAUUUGAGUUUGAGUGUUAUAUUUGAAACUAUUCUCCUAAAAAAUCAUGAAAAGAACUAAUAAAUGCAAUGAUAAUGCAUGUUUAAUUACGCUAACAAAGCAGUCGUGAAAAUGGAGGCGAAGAAGGGAAGCAGCCAUUCGCAUAUCGUUCUUGAGAGCAUUGAUGACUUCUCUCCUCACGAUUCUGAGAACAUUUGGACACGAUCUUCUGUAGAAAUCUACAGUUAAUUGAGAACUAGUGGAACCACAAAUCAUGAAAAAAAUUAUCAUGAUCAUAACCAAAGAAAAACUUCUCUUCAUUCUGCUGGUUGAGAUAAUUUCCAUGGCUGCUCCUAAUAAUAUGAGCACACAAACUUUCAGAAACUAAGUACGAUUCAUAAUCUGAUGAAGGCCUUAAUUUAUAGCCUAAUGAAAAAGAGGCAUUAGCUUU
rnacentral:lncRNA from 1 species